rnacentral:rRNA from 1 species
CCUACGGGAGGCAGCAGUGAGGAAUAUUGGUCAAUGGGCGCGAGCCUGAACCAGCCAAGUCGCGUGAAGGAUGACUGCCCUACGGGUUGUAAACUUCUUUUAUAAAGGAAUAAAGUGAGGCACGUGUGCCUUUUUGUAUGUACUUUAUGAAUACGGAUCGGCUAACUCCGUGCCAGCAGCCGCGGUAAUACGGAGGAUCCGAGCGUUAUCCGGAUUUAUUGGGGUUAAAGGGAGCGUAGAUGGGUUUGUAAGUCAGUUGUGAAAGUUUGCGGCUCAACCGUAGAAGUGCAAUUGAUACUGGGAGUCUUGAGUACAGUUGAGGUAGGCGGAAUUCGUGGUGUAGCGGUGAAAUGCUUAGAUAUCACGAAGAACACCGAUUGCGAAGGCAGCUUACUAAACUGCCACUGACAUUGAUGCUCGAAAGUGUGGGGAUCAAACAGGAUUAGAUACCCCUGUAGUC